rnacentral:rRNA from 1 species
UACGUAGGGGGCAAGCGUUGUCCGGAUUUAUUGGGCGUAAAGAGCGUGUAGGCGGCCCGAUAAGUCCGCUGUGAAAGUCCAGGGCUCAACCCUGGGAUGCCGGUGGAUACUGUCGGGCUCGAGUCCGGAAGAGGAGUGUGGAAUUCCUGGUGUAGCGGUGAAAUGCGCAGAUAUCAGGAGGAACACCAAUGGCGAAGGCAGCACUCUGGGACGUGACUGACGGCUGAGGCACGAAAGCGUGGGGAGCAAACAGG